UCCUACAAUGCAUUGCGACGUGACGUAACGAUUCCGACCUAUCAGCUGACCGUCUUCAGAAACUCCAUUGUUGUUGAUUUCAACAGCAGUAUGAAAAGCAUCACAUUGUACUUUAUGUUCUUAUUCAAUAUGGAAGGUGUGUUUGGUGAAACUGUGUUAGUGAAGGAGGGAGACUCUCCCACUCUGUUCCCUAGUCUUACUGAAAUAAAGAAAGAUGAUGUGAUAGACUGGAGGUUUGGAGACAUUCUCAUAGCUAGAGUAAGAAAUAACAAUAACCCCACAACGUAUGAUGAUGCCCUUGAUGGGAAAUUCAGAGGCAGACUGGUGUUGAACGGUCAGACUGGAGAUCUCACCAUCACAGACAUCAAAGAUACAGACAGUGGUGUUUAUGAACUAACCAACAGCAUCAACACCAUUAGGAAGACAUUCACUGUCACCGGACCGCGGAUCACCGUGUAGCAUCCAGUGAUUUGAUGGUCGCUGUAGUCUCCUGUGAUUGUCCUGAGUUGAUGUUGUCUUCGGCAUCUAAGAAGGAAGAGAAAAUUAGUGAGCGAUCUGUGGCUUUGACACCUCUGUACCAAGCGAACUCACCUGUCUGCUAUCACGUUCCAUGUGAUUACCAUACAGCCCGCACUUGAAUAACGUAGCUUUCACCGUGCACCUGAGGACUAAGGAUUCACCGAGCACUUGUACCUUUUAAAUAAAUACACUGUUCUGAAUUCACCUACCUCUUUGUCCCGAGUCUAUCCUGACAGAAGGCUUGACCUAAAACACAAGGAUGAAUUCAGCGCAGCCGGAGGACAGCGCUUCUGCUAGUCCCACUCCCACAUUGGUGUAUAUGGCAAGCUCUAUAUCCCGACCAGCGCCCUUCUCUGGUAGAGAGGAAGAUUGCAAUGGGUUUUUACUACAAUGUUCACAUGCACUUGAGCAGCACGCACACAAGUACCCUACAGAGAGAUAAAAAAUAUAGUUUAUCAUACAACAAUUGUCUGGACCAGCACUGAGAUGGGCCGAAGCGCUAUAGUUCCAGGAAUCCACAAUCCCCUCCUCCUUACAGAAUUUUAUCGGCCAUUUCAAGGAAGUGUUUGGACGUCCGGUGGGGGAUUCUUCAGUCAGCGAUCAGCUCUUAAACCUGUGACAGGGCAAAAAGACCGUCUCAGAGUAGGCCUGCUAACUGUGUAUCGACAAGGACUAAAUCCUGCACUCCGACUCCAACUCGACUCGAUGAUAAUCUGGGAUUUGAAAAAUUCAUGCAGCAAGCUCUCCGUGUUCACCUGAGGUUACAGUCCUGCUAUCAAGGAGCACACCCAGUGGAGAAUGUUCCUUGCUGAAGCAUACCUGAGAAAACUCCUGAGCCACCACCAGAAAAGUGCAAGUAGAUUCCCAAUGAUUAUCUCCAGAGGAACAAAAUCGUCUUAGAGAACAAAAAUUGUGCCUGUACUGAGGGAGAGGAGACCAUUUCAUACGCACCUGUCCAUCUCGUCCUCCACGGUUAGUGGUGAGUUCGGUCCUUCCUCAACCCUCUUUUUCAAACCCACUAACCAUCUCUGUGAAGUUGAAGUUUAGAGGUCUCGAUGUCAAGGCUACCGCCAUUGUUGACUCCGGAUCAGCUGGAAAUUUCAUUUCAAGAAAGUUCGUUAAGACCCAUCGUCUACAAAGGACUCGAACUUCAAAGCCUUACCUCAUCUACGCAAUCACAGGAGAAAUUAUAAAUAAGGGGUACGUGACAUCUCAAAUCGCACUCUCUGUGUUGAACCUGAACACCAAUAACUAUUCACUCCAUUCAUACUUACCAAUAGCCAUGCAGAACUGAUACUAGGCCGGCCUUGGCUGAUUCAACACCAGCCCUUUAUAGAUUGGACCACGGGGAAAAUACUUAAGUGGGGUUGUAAUGGUCAAAAUGCCAAAGUAAAUCAUUCCAUGUCCCAUAUUGAUAACCAGCCUGUUGCUAUAUCAUUAAAUUCCACGUCCAUUGAGAGUCCCAAGGAAAACCAGUCUGUCAAUGUCCCACCUUGUUAUGCCUCCUUUGCAGAUGUUUUCAACCCCCUAGCAGCCUCCAAACUUACCCCACACCACCCUUGGGAUUGUGCUAUCAAUCUGGUUCCAGGAUAGCAGCUCCGGGAUGCCAUGUUGCCCGUGUCUUCACCAAAUUAGACUUACGGGGCACAUACAACCUGGUCAGAAUUAGAGAGGGAGAUGAGUGGAAAACGGCUUUCAUCACCCCUGCUGGACACUACGAAUACUUGGUGAUGCAGUACGGUCUAGUAAACACCCACUCCGUCUUCCAAAGCUUCUUGGAUGAAGUCCUCUGUGAGUACCUGAACCAUUUUGCUCUUGUCUAUAUAGAUGACAUCCUCAUUUACUCACCCAAUGAAAACGAUCACCAGUAUCAUGCCAAAGUACUCCAACGUCUCAGAGAAUUUUCCCUCUUUGUCAAAGCUGAGAAGUGUGUCUCUCACCAGCAAUCCAUUGAGUUCCUAGGGUACACUAUCAACAAGGAAGGGGUGAAGAUGGACGAUUGAAAGACCCAAGCCAUUACAUCGUGGCUAACACCCGAGACCAUCAAGGAGUUACAAAGGUUCCUGGGUUUCGCUAAUUUCUACCGCAGAUUUAUUAAUCAAUACAGUAUGAUUCCCGCACCCCCUUACCUCUCUCUUAAAGGGAAAACCCAAGACUCUCCAAUGGAACCGUGAAGCUGAACAGGCAUUCCAAGCUUUGAAAAACGCUUUUACCACAGCUUCAACAUCCAGAUCCAGAGAAGAAGUUCAUAGUCGGCGUCGACGCCAUCCUGUCCCAAUGUUAAGAGAACACAACUAAACCUAUGCCCUGUGCCUUUUUCUCUAGGAAGUUGUCUGCUGCGGAGACAAAUAACGAUAUAGGCAAUCGAGAACUCCUAGCAGGGAAACUGGCGUUUGAAGAGUGGAGACACUGGCUGGAGGGGGCCAGACAGCCGUUUCUUGUGCUGACGGAUCAUAAGAACCUCCAAUAUUUGAAGGAAGCCAAGAGACUCAAUCCUAGUCAAGCCAGGUGGUCUUUAUUCUUCACCAGAUUCCAUUUUCAGAUAGCUUAUCGUCCCGGAUCAAAGAACACCAGAGCUGAUACUCUGUCACGUCUCCACGCCCUUGAGGAAACCCCUGAGGAGCCAGAGCCCAUGUUGCCCACCAAGUUAUUUGUUAUUCCCAUUCAAGGUGACUUAGAUGAAAUACUCCGCGAACAAUCUCAACAACAACCCAUUCCACCCGCGUGCCACCUGGAAAGACAUUCGUAUCCGAGGAUCAUCGCAGGGCUCUUAUCCCCCAAGUACACUCUUCAGUGGGAACCGGUCAUCCAGGUGUAAAUAAAACUCUUGCUUCUUUGCAGCGCAAGUACUGGUGGCCAGGAAUGCACCAGGACGUCGAAGAGAUCAUCCGGGGAUGCGUCCUCUGCGCCAUGACCAAAGUCCCACGUCGGCUACCCACAGGAAAGCUAGUUCCCCUUACCUAUUCCACAUCGCCCUUGGUUCUCACAUCGGGGUAGACUUUGUAAUCAACAUCCCUGUUUCUGAUGAUAAAACCAUGUAUCUUCGUAACCAUUGACAGAUUUUCUAAGGCCUGCAAACUUUUAUUAUUAUGACUUUUAACCAUUAUGAGCUCUUCCCACAGCCUUUGAGGCUGCUGAGCUCCUUUUCGAACAUGUGUUUUGGAAUCCCAGAAGACACCGUGUCAGAUCGCGGACCACAAUUCAUUUCAAGGGUAUGGCGGGCAUUCUUCUCUCUACUCAAUGUCUCACUUUCGGCUAUCAUCCCCAGGCAAAUGGACAAACUGAACGCAAGAUUCAGGACAUCAGUAGCUUUUGCCAUCAGAACCAAAACCUCUGGAACCGUGACCUAAUCUGGACAGAAUAUGCACAAAACUCACUUCGUCAGUCAUCCACUAACCUAACCCAGUUUCAAUGUGUCCUAGGCUCAGGACACAUCGUUGUUUCCCCGGUCCGGUAAGCCUUCAGAAGUCCUUGCUGUUAAUACCUGGUUUCAAAACAGUGAGAGGGUAUGGGACCAGGCCCACCAUCAUCUCCAACAGGCCGUGAAUCGUCACCAGCAUUUUGCCGAUACUUACCGAAGGCCGAACCCCACAUAUCAACCUGGCCAACUGGUGUGGCUCGCAACUCAAGACAUCCGAUUAAGACAACCUUGUAGAAAACUCAGCCCUAAGUAUAUAGGACCUUUCCCAGUAGAGCGACAAAUUAACCCUGUCACCUAUCGUCUACACAUACCUGCUCAAUAUCGGAUACACCCCACCUUUCACGCUUCCCUGUUAAAGCCCCAUCACGCUCCUGUUUCUGUUCCUUCCACAGACCCCGGUCCCUGAUGAAGACCCCCCGUUACCACCCAUUGACGCUGAACCCAUCUACACUGUACGAGAGAUUCUAGACUCCCGACGUCGUGGUGGGUGACUGGAGUAUCUGGUAGACUGGGAGGACUAUGGACCAAAGGAAAGAUGUUGGGUACCUCGUCAGGAUAUCCACGACCCCAACCUGCUCAGAGGACUUUCAUACCCAGCAUCCUGAAAGACCCGCUCCAUGACCCAGAGGCAGACCCCCACGGAACAUUCAAAAGACAACAAACUUUUAAUUUUUGAGAAUAUUUAGAUCGUGGUAAUAUCCAAACAUUAUGUACCUUAAGGUUUUUAAUAAAUAGUAAUUUUUUUUUAUUUUUUUUUGCAAGUGCAAAGUAACAAGUAGAAAGAAAGAAAAUUGCACAGCAGACUUGUAUUGAGAUUCUUCUAUCCACAGAUUUUUUUUUUUCCUGGACCUUCUUUUCGCUGUAAAUGAAGGAUGCACACUAUUGCUGAAAAACACAAUCACUACUCAGCAGUCAGAUGUCUGAAUGCACAAAGGCACAGAUCCCUAAACAAGACCAAAUCUGCAGAUGAAACUUUGUUUGUAGAAGCAUGUUUUACAUUUUAACAAGCUCCUCACGACUACACCAGGUUAUGUAGGAGAAGCUGCAAAAGUGGAAUAUACAAAACAGGGUGACCUACAUUUUUAAGUAUUGUAUCACCAAAAAUGAUUGAGGUCAUGUACAUAUAUUGGGCUAUAAGUCUAUAUAUUGACUAUUGCUACCAGCCUAGCAACAGGGGAAGUCGUGGCCUAAUGGUUAGAGAGUUGGACUCGCAAUCGAAAGGUUGUGAGUUUGAGUCUCGGGCCGGACGGAAUUGUGGGUGGGGGUAGUGCAUGUACAGUGCUCUCUCCACCCUCAAUACCAUGACUUAGGUGUCCUUGAGCAAGGCAUCAAACCCCCAACUGCUCCCCGGGCGCCGCAGCAUAGAUGGCUGCCCACUGCUCCGGGUGUGUGUGUGUGUUCACUGCUCUGUGUGUGUGCACUUCGGAUGGGUUAAAUGCAGAGCACAAAUUCUGAGUAUGGGUCACCAUACUUGGCUGAAUGUCAUGUCACUUUCACUUUUCACUUUCGCUCUGUGAACUCCAUCCCUGUCAGUGUACUGUGUUUUACUCUUAUGCCUCUCUGUCUCCAGUUACCUCAGGUGGGACUCAAGCUCUGUCUCCAGGUCAAACAGCAGGGAUUGCUGUCGGGGUUUUUCUGUCGCUGGCUGCAGCUGCUGUUGUUGUUUUCUUCUUCAGGAAAAAAAGUCAAGUUUAUUCCACAGAAUGAGCUUCUGUGACAGCUGAUGACUGACUCUGGCGAGUUACUCAAGUCAGAAGUUCAUUUUUCAUCAUCAACAAUGAUUCUUAUUUUAGCAGAGUGUCCAAUAAUAUGGAUUUCUGGAUGGAUUAAUAAUGUCAUUGUCAAUAGUUUUCCUUGAAAAUGUGUGACCGAAAAGCACUUUCUAAUUAAUUUGUUUUAAUAAUCUUUAAAUGAAAUGACCUGAUGUUUGACCAAAAUGUUACCUACAUAACAGAAAAGAACUUCCCACCUGAGUUCUUCACUCUGUAUAUAUUUAUUUAUUUAUUUAUUUACAUUGUGUAAUUUUUUUUUCUUUAUUUUUGGUCAGAUUCCUGGUCAGAUUGGACACUUCCAGCAGCUUCCUUACAAACCAUUAUUCAUAACAUUUAUGUAACAUUAUCAUUAUUCAAUGUCAUAUAUCAUUUUCAAUAUCAUUUCAAAAUAAAUGUCUUAUUUAUCCUCUGGUGAACUAUUUAAAAUCAUCUGCAUCCAGGUAAAUUGAAUUGAUAUUGCACCUUUCAUAAAUAUUAGGAAUUGCAUGUAAUGUCUACUGGAUAAACUGCUGGCUGUUUCAUUAGUUCAUUAUUAGUUAUGUGUUGAAUGAGAGCCAGUGUUUCUCUCCAAUGUGUGUUUUUCAUAUAACGUGGCAUGUGACAUUUUCUUCACUACUAAAAAUGUCUGGAAACAUUAGUAUAAUUCCAAAAUUGUCCAGUUGAAUGUAAAUCUAUGAAAAGUUUGUUGUGAUGCUUUUUUACUGCAAGGCAUGUUUGCCAACUUUUAUAUUAUUUUUAGUUUCUAUUUGUUUUUAUUAGGAACUGCGACUUAUUUUUAUGUUAUACAAAUUGAUUGCACUUAAUUCUAUUGACAUUGAAUGUAUCUAUAUUUUUGUAUUUUUUGAGUGGAUCCUGCUCAUCGGUUUCUCUUGAUUGUUAAUGUUAAUUUAUUUGGUGAUUUUAUUUAUUUUUGUAUUUAAUUGUUUUCGUUUGUUUUGUAUUUCUGAUUGUGUCAGGGUUAUUUUAUUUCACGCUUCAGAGUGAAUUAUUUUUUUGUUUAACAUUGAGCCUGAUGAAACGCUAAUAAAACAAAUGAAUGUCCAGCGGCUGUCCACAUUCUCUUCUCUCUCACAAUUGUGCUUAACUUUUAAUGUUUACUUUUAUACUAUGCUGUUAUUAUCUAAUAGUUUUGCUCAGCUUUGCUGCUCAGUUAAGCUUAUCUCAAAAAUAUUUUAUCAGCAUCGUGCACACUAUGUUGUUUUCCAAAUAGCCAAUACAUGAGUAUUAUGUAUAACAUUUUAAAGUUUGCAUUCAACUUGAGGCAUAUUGCAUGUUUUUUUUUUAUAGCACUCACUAGAAUAAGCUACUUUUUUUCACAAAUGAACCAGUUCAAAAUUUGACGUACUCGACACUGUGAUGUAACCUGAAAGAUUAAUGACUGUUUGUUUGUUUUGUGAUGGUUGUUCAUGAGUCCCUUGUUUGUCCUAAGCAGUUAAAACUGUCCACUGUUCAUCAG